rnacentral:rRNA from 1 species
GUAAAAGUCGUAACAAGGUUUCCGUAGGUGAACCUGCGGAAGGAUCAUUAUCGAAUAAACUUGAACAGGUUGUUGCUGGCCCUCCACCCCGAGGGUAUGUGCACGCUUGUCAUCUUUAUCUCUCCAACUGUGCACAUAUUGUAGACCUGGAAUUGUUUUUGCUGAUUCACCUCGAGUUGGGAUUGCUGUGCUUCUCCUGUUUGAAGUCGGCUUUCCCUUUUCAUUUCCAGGUCUAUGUUGUUUUCACACACCUUUGAAUGUGAUUAGAAUGUUGAAUCAAUAAACAUACAACUUUCAGCAACGGAUCUCUUGGCUCUCGCAUCGAUGAAGAACGCAGCGAAAUGCGAUAAGUAAUGUGAAUUGCAGAAUUCAGUGAAUCAUCGAAUCUUUGAACGCAUCUUGCGCUCCUUGGUAUUCCGAGGAGCAUGCCUGUUUGAGUGUCAUUUAAAUUCUCAACCACACCAGAUUUCUUUCUGAUGUGGCUUGGAUGUGGGGGGUUCUUUUUUUGCUGGCUUUAUAUAUUGAAGUCGGCUCCCCUAAAAUGAAUUAGUAGUAUCUGAGCAGAGAAAGUACUACAGGUGUGAUAAAUUAUCUAUGCCUCUAGUAUGCUGCAUGAACAGAUUGUGCUGCUUCUAAAAAAUAUUUGAUUGAUGAAUUUGACCUCAAAUCAGGUAGGACUACCCGCUGAACUUAAGCA